GCUGCAGAGCACUGUACCUGCACUAUACAUCUAUUAGCAAUUCAAAACAUCAGUUUGCAAGCUCAGAGUCCAGCCACAUGGGAGCCACUGCACAUAUUCCUUGGCCUUUGUUUUAUUUUAAGUAAAUCCUCAGUAAGAGUUUGGUUUCCUCUUAUGUUGAUAAUCCACAAAGAGUUUUUGCAACAACUGAAGAGUUAACAACAAAACUGCAUGAGAGGCAUUACUCAGAGCUGUGUGCAGCCAUAAUGCAGGUCUGGAGAAGAGGAGGAGGGCUCUGAAGCCUCACCUCUGCGAAGCGACAUGCAGCACAUGCCACACCAGGCAGUAAAGCUGCAGCUAAAACCCUCUUAGGCUCCCCCCGGAGAACCACCUUCCCAAGAAAUUCACUCCAACCUGGAACUGGCUCCAUCAGGCAAAAUGAGAAGCAGGAAUGGAAAGAGGCAUUAACUCAAUGACUUCAGUAGCAAUGUCAUUACUUCAAGGGAUCAAGAUUCUAGCCUUUGCAUUCAGCUAUGGGAGUGCCUCUCCUGAAAUGCUUUGGAGAGAAAGCUGCCAAAAUUUGGUACUGACAGGAGAGAGGACCAGGAUGGAGCUCAGUAAUGGAUGACAGACUGAAGGACACAACAGAAGAAGAAGGGCUUGUUGUAAGAGAUUAAUCAGAAAACUAAAGGUUCUCUCGAAAGCCAUACUGUUUCUUUCAAACAGCAUGAGCACUGAAGGCUCAGAACUACCACAGAACUGUGCUAUUACCAAGGCAGACACAGGUGCAAGAAUGGCACCGUGCUACGUCACUUGAGAGCACGUCCCAAUCAGGAUGCCAGUGGGGUCAGAGGGUUUUGACUUCCCAAGCAC